GCAGCGCCGAUGAUGAGUUCACAAAUGUACUAGGUUGAAUUCUGAUCGAAGAACCUCUCUUGGUUCGAACGAUGGCCACCUGUGUUCCUCUCGAUCUGAGGCGCUGC
rfam:Oryza sativa Japonica Group DNA, chromosome 10, cultivar: Nipponbare, complete sequence.